rnacentral:lncRNA from 1 species
GGAAAAAAUAAAUAUCUCAGAAUCUCCUAUACCUCAGAUUCCUUGAAAACUCAUGGUACGAAAUGAUCGACUGUCUGGUUGGUUCAGCACAGGGAAUAAAAACAGCUGAAAGAGGCAACAUGCACCAGACAGACACGAAUAGUAUUUUCAGCUCCCAGCUGCAAUUCUACAGCAAUAGAAACUUACAUAGGACACCCGUACUCGCCGGCGAUGCACCAGCCCGCAGCACUGCAUGAAGAGGGGGCAGAACGCAGUCAGCGUGUGGCUUCACCAAGCUGCACUGUGCCUUGUCUUCUCGUCACAGCCUCGGUCCAUUUCUUCCCACCUUCUACUCCCAGACUCGAAUUCACUGUGGAUUCCUAG